rnacentral:rRNA from 1 species
GAUGAACGCUGGCGGCGUGCCUAAUACAUGCAAGUCGAGCGAACGGACGAGAAGCUUGCGUCUCGGAUGUUAGCGGCGGACGGGUGAGUAACACGUGGAUAACCUACCUAUAAGACUGGUAUAACUUCGGAAAACCGUAUCUAAUAGCGGAGAAUAUUUUGAAGCGCAUGGUUCAAAAGUAAAAUACGGUCGUGCUGGCACUUAUCGAUGGAUCCGCGCUGGAUUAGCUAGUUGGUAAGGUAACGGCUUACCAAGGCAACGAUGCAUAGCCGACCUGAUAGGGUGAUCGGCCACAUUGGAAGUGAGCCAGGGUCAAGACGACUACGGGAGGCCGCAGUAGCGUACCUUACGCAACGGGCGAAAGUCUGACGGAGCAGCGCCGCGUGAGUGAUGACGGUCUUCGGAGCGUAAAAAUCUGUUACUAGGGAAGAACCUCUGUGUAAGUAACUGAGCCCAUCUUGACGGUACUUAAUCAGAAAGCACCGGCUAACUACGUG